rnacentral:rRNA from 1 species
GACGAACGCUGGCGGCGUGCCUAAUACAUGCAAGUUGAGCGAACCAAUAGGAGCUUGCUCCUGUUGGUUAGCGGCGGACGGGUGAGUAACACGUGGGCAACCUGCCUGUAAGACUGGGAUAACACCGGGAAACCGGUGCUAAUACCGGAUAACUCUUUUCCUCACAUGAGGAAAAGCUCAAAGACGGCGUAAGCUGUCACUUACAGAUGGGCCCGCGGCGCAUUAGCUAGUUGGUGAGGUAACGGCUCACCAAGGCAACGAUGCGUAGCCGACCUGAGAGGGUGAUCGGCCACAUUGGGACUGAGACACGGCCCAAACUCCUACGGGAGGCAG